rnacentral:rRNA from 1 species
GAUGAACGCUGGCGGCGUGCUUAACACAUGCAAGUCGAACGAAGCACUUUAUUUGAUUUCCUUCGGGACUGAUUAUUUUGUGACUGAGUGGCGGACGGGUGAGUAACGCGUGGGUAACCUGCCUUGUACAGGGGGAUAACAGUUGGAAACGGCUGCUAAUACCGCAUAAGCGCACAGCAUCGCAUGAUGCAGUGUGAAAAACUCCGGUGGUAUAAGAUGGACCCGCGUUGGAUUAGCUAGUUGGUGAGGUAACGGCCCACCAAGGCGACGAUCCAUAGCCGACCUGAGAGGGUGACCGGCCACAUUGGGACUGAGACACGGCCCAAACUCCUACGGGAGGAAGCAGUGGGGAAUAUUGCACAAUGGGCGAAAGCCUGAUGCAGCGACGCCGCGUGAGCGAAGAAGUAGUUCGGUAUGUAAAGCUCUAUCAGCAGGGAAGAUAAUGACGGUACCUGACUAAGAAGCACCGGCUAAAUACGUG